CGAGGGAGAUCAUGACAGUGAGUGGGCACAGGUCUGAGAGCUUGUUAAAAAGCUACUGGAAGCCAUCCAUGGAGAGCAGAAAACGAUGGAGCAACAUACUGUCAGAUCAGAAGGCAGAGUCGGCUGUGCCUGUGAAGCGACAGUCCACCAUGCAGUCACCAGAGACUUAUUUCACCGGCUGCACAAUUAAUGGAAAUGUGCAGAUAAAUGUGUAUAAAGAGUAAGUGCCUGGCGCACCAUGUCUGCGUUACAUAGCAACGGUGACAGCGGAGUCCUGAGGGAACUAUUUUUGUUGGCGGAAGACAAAUAAAAUGCUUAAAUUA